rnacentral:rRNA from 1 species
AAUGAACGCUGGCGGCAUGCCUAACACAUGCAAGUCGAACGAAGCCUUCGGGCUUAGUGGCGCACGGGUGCGUAACGCGUGGGAAUCUGCCCUUGGGUUCGGAAUAACUCGCCGAAAGGCGUGCUAAUACCGGAUGAUGUCGAAAGACCAAAGAUUUAUCGCCCGAGGAUGAGCCCGCGUAGGAUUAGGUAGUUGGUGGG